AUAUGUACCUGGCCGGGGAGAUACCAUGAUAACAAAGGUGGUUUUUCCAGGCGAGGCUUACUCACUGUACUCCAGAUGUGCUGACCCCUGAGAUUUCCCCAAAUGUAGAAACUUAACUGCAUACUUUGUGGUAGUGGGGGGGGGGGUCUGUGUUUGCACUUUCCCUUA
ensembl:snRNA U1 U1 spliceosomal RNA